AAUGGCGGAAUAGCACCGCCCAAUGAGCUAACGUGAACUGUCGACAUUUUAUAUUUCAGCCGCCGAUUUAGCGCGCCCGCUCUUCAACUUGUGAUGCUUAGUGCAAACCUUUGGCACCUGCUAACUCCACUUCUCUUUUCGAGGGUGAUCCAAAUCUGUGUGGACCAGCCCGGACAAUUCAAAACUAUAACUCAGCAAUUGACCGCAUCCAAGCAGAAGGAGCACAAGACGUGGAAGGAGUAAAAUUCAGAAUGGAUGACGUAGAGCCAAGCAACAUAAGCAGUGCCAUUACUAAUGUGUUACCAGACCUACCAACCUCAAAUCUAAAUAUUGUAUUGGAGACAUUACAAUCUUUAGGUGUGGGAGCCACUGAAGAUUUACAGUAUAUUAAGGAAGCUGAUCUGCUCACAGUACUGAGACCAGUUCAAGCUAGAAAACUGUUGGCUGCAUGGAAAC